UACAGAGGUGCUCAAGCGUUGUUCGGAUUCAUUGGGCGUAAAGGGUGCGUAGGUGGCGCUGUAAGUCGGGUGUGAAAUUUCGGAGCUUAACUCCGAAACUGCAUUCGUAUAACUGCGGUGCUUGAGGACUGGAGAGGAAGACUGGCAAUUCAUGGUGUAGCAGUAGAAAUGCGUAGAGAUCAUGAGGAAGACCAGUGGCGAAGGCGGCGUCACUGGCCCGGUACUGACGCUGAGGUGCGAAAGGCGUGGGGGAGCAAACAGG
rnacentral:rRNA from 1 species